rnacentral:rRNA from 1 species
CCUACGGGAGGCAGCAGUGGGGAAUAUUGGGCAAUGGACGCAAGUCUGACCCAGCAACGCCGCGUGAAGGAAGAAGGCUUUCGGGUUGUAAACUUCUUUUAAGGGGGAAGAGCAGAAGACGGUACCCCUUGAAUAAGCUACGGCUAACUACGUGCCAGCAGCCGCGGUAAUACGUAGGUGGCAAGCGUUGUCCGGAUUUACUGGGUGUAAAGGGCGUGAAGCCGGAGAGACAAGUCAGAUGUGAAAUCCACGGGCUCAACCCUUGAACUGCAAUUGAAACUGUUACCCUUGAGUGUCGGAGAGGGAAUCGGAAUUCCUGGUGUAGCGGUGAAAUGCGUAGAUAUAAGGAAGAACACCGGUGGCGAAGGCAGAUUACUGGACGAUAACUGACAGUGAGGCGCGAAAGCGUGGGGAGCAAACAGGAUUAGAUACCCUAGUAGUC